CAGCCCCUCUCUGCUUAUAAAUAGAAUCCUGUCCGUUCCACAGCCCUGGCCAGAGAUUCUCCACAUUGUUUUCGACCCUAGAUCGGCAGCUGCAGUGAAAGAGUCUGUGGGAGGGGGACACAGGCAGGAGCCCACGUGGUAGCGAGCCAGGCUCCGUCCCAUCACGGUGUCCCCCCAGCAUCGCACCUGCCUGACCUCACCCUGCUGGCCCAGCUGGUCUCCGGCUAGGAGGACACAGAAGAGGUUGGCUGCCUGCCCUUCCCGAGGUCGGUGCCCACGCUUCCGGCUGCAGUCCUGACCCUAGCCUGCAGGUCCCACGUCUGGUCCCUCCUACCUCGCCCGCCCCCUCGUCACGCCUCUCUGCCCUCCCGAUUCUCAAGGCCCCUCUGCACUCUCUCCGUUCUUCAGAUGGCCCGCUGUGCUUCCCUCCGCAGGAGCUUUCGUACUCGGUGUCCGCAGCCGUGCGUCCUCCUGCCCUGCCCACUCGCCCACUGCCCCCCAGCGCCUGCGUGCUCGGGGAACAAGAUGUGCCCCGGCGUAGGGAAAUGAAACUGCUACAAUGAUUUUCAAGGUUCUAGAUAUGGGUGAUUGGACAGUGCAGCCUGAACCCGUCCUUGCCCAGGGCCCAAGGGAGCCGAGGCUCUGUUUAUCAAGUAGCAGCAAUCGUUCGGAGCUAAAUUCGGCUCUGAAGCCUCUUCCCCACGCGAGGGCUUCAGGCAUCUGGCCUGGCUGACCCCUGACUCUUGUCUGUAGGGUUGUCUUUCCUCAUUUUGAGCCAUUCUGUAAACAGGAAUAAGCAUCAUCUCAGAGCCUUCCAAGCCAAGUGGUGCUCAGACGGCUGCAGUUGUCGGCCUCACAGACGGUGGGACCAGCGGUCACCACCCAGAAGCUUGUAUUGACGUCUCAUACUUCCUGUGUGCUGGUCCCACGCCAGGACAGCAUCACCGUAGCAGGCACAUCACGCUUUCUCCUAUGGCACGCUGGGUCCGGCUGUUCCAGCCACGCACUUGUCACCUAGGCCCUACUCUCACCAAGUGUGUUGCUGGCUGUCGGAUGUGUGUUCAGGGAGGAGGCGGUUCCUUCUGUGGCCCCAUCACCUGGCCCAGGUGGGAACCAGAGGAGCCUAGCAUUUUAGGGCUGAAGAUUAUCCAGUUUGACUCCCUCCUUGAACACAGAAGGGAGUCGAGACAAAAGUGAGUCAUUCUAGCAAGUAGAGUUUAUUGGUUAAGAUCAUGGGUAUUGCCUGCACUGGAAUCCCAUCCUAGCUGUGUGACUUCAGACGAGUCGUUUUACCUCUCUCAGCCCCAGUUGCGUCAUCCAUGCAGAGGCUAAACUUCUGUCAAGAACAAAUCGAAUAUUUGAGGUACACUUGGCUUAGCUGCCUCGUAACAGGAAACAGGACCUUGGGGACCUAUGUUAAGGCAUCACUGUUGCCUUGAGUGGGUCAUGGUUUCCAGUUGCUGCCCUGGAUGAAUUAAUGAAUUGUAGAAUUACUGUUGCUUUUCUCUUUAGUAAUCGUUAUGUUCUUGUGAAAUUGCUGCAGUCAUACCAUUUUUUUUUUAAAAUCAGUUGAUUCCUCUAAUUCUUGGUUAUUUCUGAGUUCUUUUCCUCUAGAAAAUGUAGAAAUGGGUGACACUGGCCCACAGAUUGUUUCAUUCCCAAGUAAAGGAAGAUGAGCUUUUCUGUUUCCAGCAAGAUGGAAUUAGUAGAUACUGGGUUUGCCCUCUUUUCUGAAAAAACUAAAAAUUCAGUCGAACAAUUUUCAAGAUGGUUGACAUCAAGCAGCAAAGGAUAAUGACCCCUGAGAUUCAAGGAACAAAUGAGCUGAUUCUAAAUUUCAUAUGGAAAUGCAAAGGACCCGUAACAGCCAAAACAACCUCAAAGAAGGAAAAGCAAAGUUGGAGGACUUAUUAUAAAGCUACAGUAUUUAGGGCCACAUGAAAUUGGUGUCAAGAUAAAGAGAUCAAGUUAUGCAAAACAGAAAAUCCAGAAAUAGAUCCACACCUAUAUGAUUGAUUGUUGACAAAGGUGAAGAGGCAGUUUGGAGGAGAUUUUCUGCAGGACCCAGCUUUCUGGGUUCUCAGGCUGGAUUUCAGGACACCCCCCCCUCCCCCCAGCUACAAAGGAAGUAUGCAGGAUUCAGUUUUCUGGGCUCCCUGGCCAUCCAACCACCGGUUAUGCCAAUCCCACCGCUAUUUCUCACACCCAUCAUUCCUAUAGG